UACAGAGGUGCCAAGCGUUAGGCGGAAUCACUGGGCUUAAAGGGCGCGUAGGCGGGCGAUCAAGUCAGGGGUGAAAUCCUCCGGCUCAACCGGAGAACUGCCUUUGAUACUGGUCAUCUCGAGUGAGGUAGGGGCAUGCGGAACUGAUGGUGGAGCGGUGAAAUGUGUUGAUAUCAUCAGGAACUCCGGUGGCGAAAGCGGCGUGCUGGACCUUUACUGACGCUGAUGCGCGAAAGCCAGGGGAGCGAACGGG
rnacentral:rRNA from 1 species